rnacentral:rRNA from 1 species
AAACCAACCGGGAUUGCCUUAGUAACGGCGAGUGAAGCGGCAAAAGCUCAAAUUUGAAAUCUGGCACCUUCGGUGUCCGAGUUGUAAUUUGAAGAAGCUACUUUGGGGCUAGUCCUUGUCUAUGUUCCUUGGAACAGGACGUCAUGGAGGGUGAGAAUCCCGUAUGGCGAGGAGUCUAGUCCUAUGUAAAGUGCUUUCGACGAGUCGAGUUGUUUGGGAAUGCAGCUCUAAGUGGGUGGUAAAUUCCAUCUAAAGCUAAAUAUUGGCGAGAGACCGAUAGCGAACAAGUACAGUGAUGGAAAGAUGAAAAGAACUUUGAAAAGAGAGUGAAAAAGUACGUGAAAUUGUUGAAAGGGAAGGGCAUUUGAUCAGACAUGGUGUUUUGCGACCCUCGCUCCUUGUGGGUGGGGAUCUCGCAGCUCACUGGGCCAACAUCAGUUUUGGCGGUAGGAUAAAUCUUUGGGAACGUGGCUUGUCUUCGGAGAAGCGUUAUAGCCCAGGGGAAUACUGCCAGCCGGGACUGAGGACUGCGACUUUUGUCAAGGAUGUUGGCAUAAUGGUUAAAUGCCGCCCGUCUUGAAACACGGACCAAGGAGUCUAACGUCUAUGCGAGUGUUUGGGUGUAAAACCCGUACGCGUAAUGAAAGUGA